CCGCUUUCCCCUCAAUGAAGGUACAGAGAAGUCUGGCAGUAAGUUUGGCUGUCGGAGACGGACUGGGGAGGUCCUUGGCACUAGAGUGGAAGGAGGGAAGAAGACAUUUUCUGUGAGCUAAGAAAAGUCAAAGCCACAUCGUGAGUGGAGUGAGAUUCUCAAGCGAUUUAGAAAUUUGGGGGACCAUAGCCUUAAGCACACAAGAAGGCCCCUUUUUAAAGCUAUAAAUGAUUCUGCUGAUGGCCGGGAACCUGCUUGGUAAUGCGCCAAGAGCAGUCGAUCCACUUAACCAACACAUCUGAAUCUUUCAGGGUGCCCUCGUCGCCCUGACUGGGCUAUGACACCAGGCUCCGAGCUGCCCUUCUACCCUUCUUCUGAUGUUCUCUUCUCACUGUGAGGGCUCCAGCAUCCUGAGCGGAGUCACUCCCCUGCAGAGACUCCUUUCUCCUCCCAGUGGCCCUCUGUCAUCCCAUGUGCUCUGCCAUGGCUCUUCCCCUGUCCACAUGGGGAAGACUCCCACUUUGCUAAGCCCCAGUCUAAUGGGUUUUGGACUGAGUUACUCAGGAAGUAAACAACUGAAUGGAAGGGAGCAAGAGAAGGGAAGGAAAGGAGAAGGAGAAGAGCAUUUUUGAAAAAACAUUGUCUAUAACAUUCCCUCUUUGUAUUUGAAUUUUUAUCUUCAUUCAGAUUAUAUUCUGGAAUAGAUUCCCAGAAAUGGAAUUACUGGGUCAAAUGUUAUAAACCAAAUAACUUGUCUUAAUUUUUACUCCUGCCAGUAGUACUUGAUAAUGUCUAUUUUAUCAUAGACAGCUUUAGGUAUUGUAUCUAAUUUUAAAAUAAUUUGUCAUUAAUUUUAUAGAUGAAAGUAAUGUAUCAUUUUCUUUUUUUAUUACUAGUGAGAUUGAAUUUUUUUUUAUUUAUUUAGCUUAUUUUUAGCUUCUCUUAAAUAAAUUAUUGUCUUAUACAUUGCAUUUCAGAAUUGUAUUUUUCUUUGGUUGAUAUAUUAAUUGUAUUAACACUUAGUCAUAUUUAUUGCAAUAAAUACUAGUUUUUAAACCAUAACUAACUUCUUCUGGCCACCCUCUACAUUUGUGCCUGCCUUUCUCUGCUGCCAAUCAACAUCUCAGGUAAAUGCAAGCUAAAGGUAAUAUUACCAUAGCAAUAUUAACAACAGUUACUUUAGAUUCUUGUAUUUUUUACUCUCCAUUAGUUUGAUUGAUUUAUCUAAUUCUCUUCUCGAUUUUUUUCAUUUUAUAUACUCUGAAGCUAUGUUAGUUAAGUUAUAUUACUACUGAAUUGAAUAUUUCAUCAUGUAUCUUUUAUUUCUAAUAUUUUUAAAUAUUAAAGUCUAGUAUAGUGUCAUCAGCUUUUUUGGGGGAGAUGGGUGGCUUUUGCAUGCUAUAACAUUUUGAACCUUUUAUUUUCACCUUUCAGUAUCAUUAUGUUUUAGGUGUAUCUCCUGUUAUGAGUCAGGAUCCUGGCAGAAAAUUUACAGGCAGUGCACUCAAAUGUUAAUUGAAGAGAGUUUAAUGAAGAAAUUCCUUAGAGAGGUGUGGGCAGCAUUAAUGGAACCAAUAAAAGGUUCCAUUAUUGAAAUACUCAGGAACCAGAAACAGGGAAUAAUAGCAUUUAUACCCUAGCCCUGAAGGGUCAAAGAGAGGGAGCAGUGUUAUUGGAAUCCUUUAUAAGCUCUUCCUGGGAGAGUGGGCUCCUACAGGAUCUGUGGUCUUAAACAGAAAUCUCACAACCAGUGAAAAAGUCUGGUCUGACAAGGAGAGAAACUGGGAGAAUUAAUGCACCUUCUUCUCUUCUCCCGAAUUGUGAUCUUCUGCCACUAUCUGCUGUUGGCCAAAUCCAAACACAAGUUAGAGGGCUAAGGAUCUCAGGCGAUGUGGAGAACAGAGCUGGACUCAGACCUAGGCAGAGAAAAAUGGAGAAGAGCUGGCACACAUGUAAACAGCUCCCAUCUGAAUUUUGUUGAUAUCCAGUAUGAGUUUUCUUUUUUUAAGUCAAGCAUGUAGCCCAUUUACUUAACAGUUUUUUUCUUAAUUCUUCUUUUUUUUAUUAAAGUAUCAUUGAUAAACAAUCACAUGAGCAAAAUUGUGAUUAUUAGAUUCCUCCCAUUAUCAAGUCCCCAUCACAUACCCCAUUACAGUCACUGUCCAUCAGCAUAGUAAGAUGCUAUAGAGUCACUACUUGUCUUCUCUGUGUUGUAUUUUCUUCCCCAUGUCCCCCCUACAUUAUGUGUGCUAAUCAUAAUGCCUGUUAAUCCCCUUAUCCCUCCCUUCCCACCCACCUGCCCCAGUCCCUUUCCCUUUGGUAACUGUUAGUCCAUUCUUGAGUUCUGUGAGUCUGCUGCUGUUUUGUUCCUUCAGAUUUUGCUUUGUUGUUAUACUCCACAGAUGAGUGAAGUCAUUUGGUACUUGUCUUUCUCUGCCUGGCUUAUUUCACUGAGCAUAAUACCCUCUAGCUCCAUCUAUGUUGUUGCAAAUGGUAGGAUUUGUUUU